UACGUAGGGGGCAAGCGUUGUCCGGAUUUAUUGGGCGUAAAGAGCGUGUAGGCGGUUUGGUAGGUCCGCUGUGAAAACUCGAGGCUCAACCUCGAGACGCCGGUGGAAACCAUCAGGCUAGAGUCCGGAAGAGGAGAGUGGAAUUCCUGGUGUAGCGGUGAAAUGCGCAGAUAUCAGGAAGAACACCAGUGGCUAAGGCGGCUCUCUAGUACGGUACUGACGCUGAGACGCGAAAGCGUGGGGAGCGAACAGG
rnacentral:rRNA from 1 species